GUAUUCACCGCAUCGCACGCUCGUCUUGGAUCCAAGUAGAUGCUAGUCGUACAGUCCACGCGGAGUGGGUACGACAGGCCAGUCGCGAGAGUGUUAGUGAGAUUCCGACUGGUGGGUGACCUUAGAUUAUGUGCACAGAUGAUUUAUGAGAAGCACUAGAGCGUAACUUGUGUGCAGAAGGCCGUACAGGUCACGCGGAGUGACUCCGGCAGAGUGUGAGAGUGAUAGAUUUUGAGCUCUAGGUUCAACCGGGCUAAUAGAGGGCCUCCGGUUGAUUAUCUUAUUGCACCUGAUAUGAUUUAUGUUGAUGCAUUCAUACCUUAUUACUGUUGAGAUGAUGUGGCAUGGCAUAAUUAAUAUGAGAAAUGUUGAGAUGAUGUGGCAUGGCAUAAUUAUGAUGAAAAUGUUGAGUUAAUGAAUUGAAGUAUUGAGAAUAUAUAUAUGUAUAUUUAUAUUUUAUAUUUCUGGGAAAGUAUACAGGUUUUACGGAGAGGGGUUACAACGUUUUGAGAAAUGUUUGGAUUUGGAAAAGAAUUGUUUUACUGACCCACUCAAUUUUGGUUUUGCGCCCCUCCAGGUUCAGGAAUCAUAAAGGUGUGGUGACUACGAGGAAAUUGACGGUGUUCUGACAGAUUGGACAAAAUUAGGACUCACCUUCGGGUGUAUCAACUUAUAAAUUGUAUCUUAAAGCUUCCGUACUGUGCAAAUGGUUACGUCACUCUCACGUGACGGCCAGCAUGCCCUCCUUCGGGACGGGGUGUGUCAGUUGGUAUCAGAGCAUGGUUGCAAUCUUGGACAUCUUGAGAAGUUCUAGUGAAUUCUGUCAGAACUACACCGCCUCGUAGUAAGCCACUUAGUUAGAGGAAUUUAGUCUCCCUAAUAUAGCGGUUUAGGGGAAACUAUUAUUAUGGUGAUUCAGUCUAUUAUAAAAAGGGACAUUUUAAGACGGGUUAUGAGUCGAAUUUGAAUCACCUUAUGGAAUGAUGAACCUGAGGGAGCGAAGUAACGGUUUAACCAUUUGGAAAAGAUGUUUCAGAUUAUGCAAGUUAAAGGAAAUUUCCUUCUGACAAGGGGUCGAGACGACUACCUGGUUUUGGGUAUGAAUUUGUAUCCUGGUGGAAACAGGAGUAUGAUUUGUUGUCACCGGAGGAACAGUCGAUUGAGAAUUGUUUAAGGACUUGUUUAAGGAAAAGUUUAUCCCUCCGGCAUUUAUCGAUGGUAGUAAGCAAGAGUUUGCAAAUGUGAAUCAAGGAAGUUGACGAUAAAUGAAUAUUAUAGAAAGUUUUCAGACUUGCCUCGUUCCAUCCAGAUAUUUGAGACAAGGUGUCUCGAGUAAAGGAAAUGUACCUUGUGCAGCAGGUACAAAAUUAACACUUUGAGAAAUGUGAAAUUAAUGAAUGUGUUUAUGUGGAUAGAGGGGACGCAGAAUUGUGAAUUGUCCCUAGAAUCAGUUGUACUCAACAAUUUUCCAUGAUAUCAUAGUGUCGAUUCAGCAGAGUUAUGGACUUAGUAGUUUGGUCGGAUUGACCGUGAGUACAGAGAGAUUUGAUGAGUUAUAUGUUCAGCCGUACAGACCAUGAGAAAUGGAUUCGACUGACACAUGAGAAAUUGGUGAGUUAUAGGUUCGGCCGUACCGACCACGCGGAGUGGAUCCGGCCGACGUAUUAUUGAGAUAAGAGUUGAAUCAGCCGUAUUGAUCAUUCUAGUUGACUUCGGCUGAUAUAUUUCUUAUUAUGUAUGUUAUAUCUUUGAGAGUGGUUGCCUACUUAUCGAGACAACGAUGAUUUAUUAGUAUUGCGGGCUGCAGACCGUAAUAUUAAUACUCAUUCGUGGAUUCGUUAAGCAAGCAACCCGGUAGAUUAUUUUAUGUUAGUAUUGUACUUAUUCAGAAUGUUCAGUAAUAAUAAAGUAUGUAUUGGGUCAGUUAAUUUUAUUCCAUUAGAUUGAUUGUUUAUAGUUGUGACUAGAUGGAAUGUUACGAGAAACCAGUUACUUUCCAUCGAGUUGAUUAAUUAGAGGUUACUUUGGUGGGGCAUACAAAGUGAAAUGAGUUCAGCCAUUAUUUAUGCUGUGAAAGCAAAGAUAUUGUUUUGAAAGGCUGCCCAAACAUACUUAGUUCAUGUGGUGCUAAAUGAUGUUGUUUGGAGUAGUGUGAAUAAUGUCGAAAGGGUUAGACUUUUCUUGAUGUCUUCCCUGAAAGUAUACCUGGAUUGCCUUCAGGCAGAGAUAUGAGAUUCACUAUUGAUUUGUUGCCAGGUAUAAAUUUAUGUUAAAGAUUGGUUCAUGAUGAGUUAAGGGAAUUGGAAAUUCAGUUGAAAGAAUUGGUUGAUAAAAGUUUUAUUCAACCUAGUACAACGCUUUGGGGGAGCCCCAGUUCGUUGGUGAGGAAGAAAAUGGAUUUUAAGACUGUUCAUUGAUUAUAGACAAUGGAGUCGGGUAACGAUUAAGAACCGUUAUCCAUGGUGAUGUACUGAUGUUUAUUUAACCAGCUCAGAAGUAAUUGCGAAGAUUCAAAGAUUGAAUUGAGAUCUGGUUACUACCAAUUGAAUAUUAUAAGUGACGUUGAUCAUAAGAUGGUUUUCUGGACUUGUUAUGGUCCUUAUGAAGUUUGGUGAUGCUAUGUGGAUACUCAUGCUGUUUUAUGAGUUGAUGGAUGAAGUAUUCCAAUAAUGCCUUGAUAAAUUGAUAUCAUUCUUAUUGAAGAUAUUCUGGCAUAUUCUGAGCCAGAGCAGAGCAUGUAAACGUAUUAAGUCGGUGAAGCAAAGAUUGAGAGAACGUUGGUUGUAUGCUAAGUAGCAAAUGCUAAAGUUAGAUGAAUCAGGUGGCAUUCUGAGAUUUGUUAUAUAUUCUUAAGGUAUUUAAGUGAAUCCUUAAAAGAUAGCAGAAAUUGAGAAUUUGGAACAACCACGAGUCGUAAUUGAGAUUUGGAAUUUCUUAACUUACCAGGCUAUCUUGGAUGGUUGUGAAAGAGUUUUAGUCAUUGCUUUGUCAUUGACGAGACUGUUGAGAAAGGAGGUUAUGUAUGAGUAGGAAGGAAAUUGUGAGUAAAGGAUUCAACAACUGAAGUAUUUCCUCACUCAUGCACGUAUUUUAGUAAUCCCAGAGAAUAGUGGUAAUCAUAAAUUUUUAGUGAUGUUUCUUGAAUGGUAUUGGAGGCAUGUUGAUGCAAAUGUUAGGGUGAUUGCAUACAUUUCACGAUAAUGGAACCUCAUGAGAUGAAUUACCCUACGGGUGACUUAGAAGUCAUGAUUACCAUUCUUGCUGUGAAGUUAUGAAGGCAUUAUAUUUGGUAAGAAUGCAAGAUUUUACGAAUCCAAAAGUCUUCAAUAUUCAUUACUUGGAAAGAUUUUGAUAUAAGGCAGCGAAAGUGAAUUGUAUUGUUAAAUGAAUAUGAUUGUACGAUCAGGGUGAUCGUGAAUUGUUGUAGCUGAUACACUUGGUGAAAAGAUUGCAGUAAGAUUAAUGUCAGGCACGCUUGCCAAGAUUAUCUUCUCGUGGAUUGAAAAUCAAUUAAAGUAAAGUUAAGAAUGAAAGAUCGAGAAGAAGUUAUACUUGUUAAUUUUCAAGUUAGGCCUGUUUGGUAAGGUCGUACUCGAAAUAUAAAUGUUUGACGAGGAAAUUUAAGAAUUAACCAAGGCAGAGAAAGAAGGGAAAAAGAAUGAGUACAUGAUUCGUGAAUCAAAUGGUAUGUGGAUACAAGAAAACAAAAAGUAUGUGCCUAAUGUUGAGGAUUUGAAGCAAGCAAAUAUUGGACGAAGUUCACUGUUCAACUUCUGCAAUAUUCCAAAAGUAAUAAGAUUUAUCAUACCAUUCGACAGUUUUAUUUGGUCAGCAGAUUGAGGCAGAAAAAGAUAAACCUUUGGAUUGAGAUAACUAUUUUCUGUUUCGCAGUGGAAAUGGAAAGAUAUUACUUUGGAUUAUGUGUACAAGUUUCCUUGUACAUAGGAUGGUUAUGAUUGAAUUUGAAGCGAUAGUUGGUCAAUGUACCAAGUUAGUACAUUUACUCCAGGGUUGAGUAACGGUACUUAUUUGUUUUAUAGAAAGAAGAAUUGGUUUACGGAACUGCUAAGUUUCUUAAGUAUGUUGGUUGCGCAGUUUCCGAAGUGAAGCCAUAAGGUUCAUGAAGUGUGUCAUGUGUGUAUUUUGUUGACUUGUGAAUGGAAUAUUUCUGGGUAGAGAAAGAUUCGAUCAAGAAAGAGUUUUUGUAAACCCUGAGACUAUGGAUGAGUCUCCUCAAAGUAUUCAGGUGAUUAAGUUAACCUGAAGAAACCAGGAAUGGCAAAAGAGAUCAACAGAUGAAUAUACCACUAAUCGAGUGUAUAACGUAGAUGAUUUUAUAUUUUUGGAAAUUUCACCAUGAAAAGAAAUAGCAAGAUUUGGAAAGGAAGACAAGAUAAGUCUUAGACACAUCAGAUCGAUUUGAUCACUAAAGGAAUCGAUGAAGUUGCAUACAAGUGGUGAUGUCUUCAGAGUUGGCUAAGGUACUUAAUGUAUUUUGGGUUCGAUACGUUGUCACUAGGUGACAAAUUCGUCACAUGAGAUCCUGAUGCAACUAUUGAGAGUUAAAUUGCAUUCGACUUGAUAAGGAACCAAGGAUGACUUUGGAUUGGAAAAAGAAGGUCCUGAGAAUUAAGACAGAGUAAGUGGUAAAAGCUUUGUGAAGGAAAUCAUUCAGUGGAAAAUUAUGUGGGAGGAAAAGAAUCGGAUGAGAGAUUUUUAACCGAAGCUAUUGUUGGAGUAUGGUUGAUUUAGUUGGUUGCUGGAAUUUCGGGGACGAAAUUCUAUAAGGAGGGAAGAUUGUCACAGCCCGUCCCGGAAUUUUAAUUCCGAGGACGUGAAAAGACCAAAAUGCCCUUAAGCGGGACUAAGGGGCGAAAAUUUAACAAUUAGAUUUAUAUUUGUAUGUGUUAAAUUGUGUUUGGACUUAGGUAGGGCCUCCUACCCUCAAAACAUUCCCUAAAACCCGUAACCUUUCCUUCUCUCUCUUUUUCUUCUUUCAUCUCAGAAAACUCUCUCUCUCUCUCUUACUCUCGAACUCACGGCAACCACCAAGAACCACCACAAUCUUGUACGAACGUUCCAUUUAAGACCACCAUCGUGAUCCUGAGGACUUCACGAGCUCGGGGAUACCAAACUCAGGUGAGUUUCACUUCGGAAAACCCUAGUUUCAGUGUCACCGUAAUAUUGCACUGUUCACGAACUUCAAAUUGGCUUUGUUUUAGGCCAAACCAAGCUCACAGUGAGCUUAAGGAAGUCCCAAGGAAGCUCGGAGUGCUUCGUUGGAAGUUUUUGGACGUAAGAACACGGAGAUCGACAAGUUCAAAGUUUGGCCGGAGCUUUCGAGGCUCUUUCCGGCGAAUCCCCGGCGAGUUAGGAGUUGAGGUAGGUAUCAAUCUCUUCGUCUCGUCAAGUACUACAACUUUCCUUUUUGUUUCACUCAAUUUCGUUGAGUAUUGAAGAAGUUAUACUCAUUUGAAAAAUACCCAGUUUCCGGCGACCUCCGAGGCUUUCGAGGCAGUUUCCGGCCAAACCACGGCGAACUAGGUGUUGUGAAAGGUACCAUUCUCUUUGUCUCUUCAAGGGCUACAACUUUCGUUUUUGAAUCACUUGAUUUCGUUGAGAAAUGACAAAGUUAUGGCAAUUUGAAAAACUGCCCAGUAAACGGCCGCCGGAAAAACCAGUCUGGCGACCCAAGGAAGAAGAUGAUGCGCGUGGGGGCGCGUGGGCCGUGCUUGUCUUGGCGCGUGGGGCGCGUGCUAAAGUAAAAAAUUAUUUUAAAAAUAUGUCGACGUCCGUGACGUCGAGUAGAUCACUGUGGUAUAUUCAUAUACCCAAUUUGAGCAAUAUAUGAGGAGUUAUUAGCUAAGAGUGGGAUUAUGCGUUAAAUAACGUCAAUUUGGUUACUUCUCGUAUAGGCGAGGAUUAUACGGACGUUGGGCAUGGCUAAGGGAGGCUCAGGGACCUUCGACACGUCGAUGUAAUCUGUGAGUGGGCAGUUUUGUAUUCCGUAUAUAUAUAUACUUGACGUUUCCCAGAAAUUGAAUUGAAAUGAAAAUAUGUUUAAAAUGAAAUGCAUAUGAGUUAUGUGGAAAAACGGGAAGUGAAAUACCAUGCAUAGAAUUGAUAUGAAAAGUAUAUAGAAAUGUGAGUUGAAAUGCCAUGCAUGAAUUAAUAUAUGAUGCAUAUGUAUGAAUUGGUGCGGUGGACGCACAGGUAAGAAUUGAUUUAUGAUGCAUAUAUAUGAAUUGGUGCGGUGGACGCACAGGUAAGAAUUGAUUUAUGAUGCAUAUGUAUGAAAUGGUGCGGUGGACGCACAGGUGAGUAUUUAUUUCUGUUAUGAUGAUGUUGAUGUAUAUUGAGCUCAAAUCCUGCACCAUAGUUUAGUGCUUAUAGUAUUCACCGCAUCGCACGCUCGUCUUGGAUCCAAGUAGAUGCUAGUCGUACAGUCCACGCGGAGUGGGUACGACAGGCCAGUCGCGAGAGUGUUAGUGAGAUUCCGACUGGUGGGUGACCUUAGAUUAUGUGCACAGAUGAUUUAUGAGAAGCACUAGAGCGUAACUUGUGUGCAGAAGGCCGUACAGGUCACGCGGAGUGACUCCGGCAGAGUGUGAGAGUGAUAGAUUUUGAGCUCUAGGUUCAACCGGGCUAAUAGAGGGCCUCCGGUUGAUUAUCUUAUUGCACCUGAUAUGAUUUAUGUUGAUGCAUUCAUACCUUAUUACUGUUGAGAUGAUGUGGCAUGGCAUAAUUUAUAUGAGAAAUGUUGAGAUGAUGUGGCAUGGCAUAAUUAUGAUGAAAAUGUUGAGUUAAUGAAUUGAAGUAUUGAGAAUAUAUAUAUGUAUAUUUAUAUUUUAUAUUUCUGGGAAAGUAUACAGGUUUUACGGAGAGGGGUUACAACGUUUUGAGAAAUGUUUGGAUUUGGAAAAGAAUUGUUUUACUGACCCACUCAAUUUUGGUUUUGCGCCCCUCCAGGUUCAGGAAUCAUAAAGGUGUGGUGACUACGAGGAAAUUGACGGUGUUCUGACAGAUUGGACAAAAUUAG
rnacentral:lncRNA from 1 species